rnacentral:rRNA from 1 species
CCAAUAGCGUAUAUUAAAGUUGUUGCAGUUAAAAAGCUCGUAGUUGAAUUUCGAGAUCAAUAUAUUGGUCGUGCCUCCGGUACGUACUGGUAUCGUUGAUUUCUACCUUCUGACGAACCAUGAUGUCAUUAAUUUGGUGUCAUGGGAAAUCAGGACUGUUACUUUGAAAAAAUUAGAGUGUUUAAAGCAGGCAUACGCUUGAAUACAUUAGCAUGGAAUAAUGAAAUAGGACGUUUGACCCUAUUUUGUUGGUUUCUAGGAUCGACGUAAUGAUUAAUAGGGAUAGUUGGGGGCAUUAGUAUUCAAUUGUCAGAGGUGAAAUUCUUGGAUUUAUUGAAGACUAACUACUGCGAAAGCAUUUGCCAAGGAUGUUUUCAUUAAUCAAGAACGAAAGUUAGGGGAUCGAAGACGAUCAGAUACCGUCGUAGUCUUAACCAUAAACUAUGCCGACUAGGGAUCGGAUGAUGUUAAUUUUUUAAUGACUCAUUCGGCGCCUUACG